rnacentral:rRNA from 1 species
AGAGUUUGAUCCUGGCUCAGGAUGAACGCUGGCGGCGUGCCUAAUACAUGCAAGUCGAACGAAUCUUCUUCGGAAGAUGAGUGGCGAACGGGUGAGUAAUACAUAGGUAACCUGCCCCUGUGCGGGGGAUAACAGGAGGAAACUCCUGCUAAUACCGCAUAGCCAUGAGCACCGCAUGGAGCUCAUGCCAAAUAUCCUUUCGGGGAUAGCGCAGGGAUGGACCUAUGGCGCAUUAGCUAGUUGGCGGGGCAACGGCCCACCAAGGCAACGAUGCGUAGCCGGCCUGAGAGGGCGGACGGCCACAUUGGGACUGAGACACGGCCCAAACUCCUACGGGAGGCAGCAGUAGGGAAUUUUCGUCAAUGGGGGGAACCCUGAACGAGCAAUGCCGCGUGAGUGAGGAAGGUCUUCGGAUCGUAAAGCUCUGUUGUAAGAGAAAAACGGCACUCAUAGGGAAUGAUGAGUGAGUGAUGGUAUCUUACCAGAAAGUCACGGCUAACUACGUGCCAGCAGCCGCGGUAAUACGUAGGUGGCGAGCGUUAUCCGGAAUGAUUGGGCGUAAAGGGUGCGUAGGUGGCAGAUCAAGUCUGGAGUAAAAGGUAUGGGCUCAACCCGUACUGGCUCUGGAAACUGAUCAGCUAGAGAACAGAAGAGGACGGCGGAACUCCAUGUGUAGCGGUAAAAUGCGUAGAUAUAUGGAAGAACACCGGUGGCGAAGGCGGCCGUCUGGUCUGGAUUCUGACACUGAAGCACGAAAGCGUGGGGAGCAAAUAGGAUUAGAUACCCUAGUAGUCCACGCCGUAAACGAUGAGAACUAGGUGUUGGGGGAAUAACUCAGUGCCGCAGUUAACGCAGUAAGUUCUCCGCCUGGGGAGUAUGCACGCAAGUGUGAAACUCAAAGGAAUUGACGGGGGCCCGCACAAGCGGUGGAGUAUGUGGUUUAAUUCGACGCAACGCGAAGAACCUUACCAAGGCUUGACAUUGAAUGACCGCUUCAGAGAUGAAGCUUUCCCUUCGGGGACAUGAAAACAGGUGGUGCAUGGCUGUCGUCAGCUCGUGUCGUGAGAUGUUGGGUUAAGUCCCGCAACGAGCGCAACCC